CGCGUAGGCGGCCACCGCAAGUCGACUGUGAAAUCUCUGGGCUUAACCCAGAACGGUCAGCCGAUACUGCGGGGCUAGAGUGCAGAAGGGGCAACUGGAAUUCUCGGUGUAGCGGUGAAAUGCGUAGAUAUCGAGAGGAACACCUGCGGCGAAGGCGGGUUGCUGGGCUGACACUGACGCUGAGGCGCGAAAGCUAGGGGAGCGAACG
rnacentral:rRNA from 1 species